GAUGAACGCUGGCGGCGUGCAUAAUACAUGCAAGUCGAGCGAAGCGGGGACGGGGUAGUAACACGUGGAUAACCUCCUCUAAGACUGGGGAAACUUCGGGAAACCGGAGCUAAACCGGAUACUUAUCGAUGGAACCGCACUGCAUUAGCUAGUUGGUAAGGUAACGGCUUACAAAGGCAACGAGGGAUAGCCGACCUGAGAGGGUGAGCGGGCACCCUGGAACUGCGACACGGUCCAGACUCCUACGUGAGGCAGCAGUAGGGAAUCUUCCGCAAUGGGCGAAAGCCUGACGGAGCAACGCCGCGUGAGUGAUGAAGGUCUUCGGAUCGUAAAACUCUGUUAUUAGGGAAGCGGUACCUAAUCAGAAAGCCACGGCUAACUACGUGCCAGCAGCCGCGGUAAUUC
rnacentral:rRNA from 1 species